GGCUACACAUGCAAGUCGAGCGGCAGCGGGAAAGUAGCUUGCUACUUUUGCCGGCGAGCGGCGGACGGGUGAGUAAUGCCUGGGGAUCUGCCCAGUCGAGGGGGAUAACUACUGGAAACGAUAGCUAAUACCGCAUACGCCCUACGGGGGAAAGCAGGGGACCUUCGGGCCUUGCGCGAUUGGAUGAACCCAGGUGGGAUUAGCUAGUUGGGGAGGUAAUGGCUCACCAAGGCGACGAUCCCUAGCUGGUCUGACAGGAGGAUCAGCCACACUGGAACUGAGACAUCGCCCACACUCCCCCUGGAGGCAGCAGUGGGGAAUAUUGCACAAUGGGGGAAACCCUGAUGCAGCCAUGCCGCGUGUGUGAAGAAGGCCUUCGGGUUGUAAAGCACUUUCAGCGAGGAGG
rnacentral:rRNA from 1 species